GCCCAAAACCUAGCCUACAACCUCCUCGUAUGAACUAUUAUAUAAUCCACCCAAAUUAAAACAUUUUAACAUAAUAGUAGAGGCGAUCGAAACUAUACUUAGCGCUUAAUAAAUAGUACCGCAAGGGAAAUAUGAAAUAAACAUAAACUUUAAGCUGACAAUAGCAGAGACUUCAACUCGUACCUUUUGCAUCAUGGUCUAGCCAGUCUAAUCAAGCAAAACGAAAUUUUAGUUUGACCCCCCGAAACUAAGCGAGCUACUUCAAAACAGCUUUUAGAGCGAACCCAUCUCUGUAGUAAAAGAGUGGAAAGAUUUUCAAGUAGAAGUGACAAGCCUACCGAGCUUAGAAAUAGCUGGUUAUUCAAAAAAAGAAUAAAGUUCUACCUCAAACCACCCCAUGCCACAAAUCAACAAGCAAGGCUUGAGAGCUAUUCAAAUAAGGCACAGCUUAUCUGAAAAAGGACACAACCUCUAUCACCGGGUAACCCAUAACCUCCUUAUCAAGUGGGCCUGAAAGCAGCCACCUUUUAAAAAGCGUCACAGCUUAAUUAUCUCAAUACAAUUUCACUAACCUCAUCAAACCCCUCCCCAACAUUGAAUGAUUCUAUAACAAUAUAGAACCCAUCCUGCUAGAACUAGUAACAAGAAUUUAAAAUUCUCCUAAAUAUACUUAUCAACCAGAACGGAUCUCCCACUGGUAAUUAACGAUAUGAGCUAAAUACAGCAACCCACCAAGAAAACCCUGCAUACCCCCUUCGUUAACCUUACACUAGCAUAUUACAGGAAAGAUUAAAAGAGGAAAAAGGAAUUCAGCAAAUUUCGACCCCGCCUGUUUACCAAAAACAUCGCCUCUUGACUAUAAUAAGAGGUCCAGCCUGCCCAGUGAAAAUUCAACGGCCGCGGUACCCUAACCGCGCAAAGGUAGCAUAAUCACUUGUUCCUUAAAUAGGGACCAGUAUCAACGGCACCACGAGAGUCGCACUGUCUCCUUCCUCUAAUCAGUGAAACUGAUCUUCCCGUGAAGAAGCGGGAAUAAAACUAUAAGACGAGAAGACCCCAUGGAGCUUUAAACCUUCAACAACUUAAUACUAUACUUCCCCAUAAUUAUAAGCCUUGCCUAACGGUUUUAGGUUGGGGCGACCGCGGAGUAAAAACCAACCUCCAUGACGAAAUAGAACUAAAUCUUUAUCCAAGAGCCACCCCUCUAAGAAUUAGAACACUAACGCACACGACCCGAUAAUCGAUCAACGAACCAAGUUACCCUGGGGAUAACAGCGCAAUCUACUUCGAGAGCCCAUAUCGACAAGUAGGCUUACGACCUCGAUGUUGGAUCAGGGUAUCCUAGUGGUGCAGCCGCUACUAAUGGUUCGUUUGUUCAACGAUUAAAACCCUACGUGAUCUGA
rnacentral:rRNA from 1 species